AUAUCAUUCAAUGUGCCUGGA
rnacentral:siRNA from 1 species